CUGUCAAACAGUCUUCUCGCCCAUCGCUUGCCCCGCUGCCCGCACGCCCGUCUCCUGCGCGCCGUGGGCCGUGGUGAAGAAGUUCGGCGAGGUCGCUUCGCCUGCAAAGAACAACCGGUCAUCGACGGGGGCGGCAAGAACCGCGCGAUCGUCGGCGUGGCCCGGCAGCGCGUACGAGUAUGAUCCGCGCGCGAACGGAUCGUGCGCCCAGCGGGUUUCCGCGAGCGGCCUCAGCUUGCGGCGAUAGUCCGAUCCCAGCAGCAUGACCAGCUCAUCGAUGGCCUGC
rnacentral:misc_RNA from 1 species